CCGCGUGAGGGACGAAGGCCUUUGGGCUGUAAACCUCUUUUCUCAGGGAAGAAGAUAUGACGGUACUUGAGGAAUAACCCACGGCUAAUUCCGUGCCAGCAGCCGCGGUAAUACGGGAGUGGCAAGCGUUAUCCGGAAUUAUUGGGCGUAAAGCGUCCGCAGGCGGCUUUUCAAGUCUGCUGUUAAAGCGUGGAGCUUAACUCCAUCAUGGCAGUGGAAACUGAAAGGCUUGAGUAUGGUAGGGGCAGAGGGAAUUCCCGGUGUAGCGGUGAAAUGCGUAUAUAUCGGGAAGAACACCAGUGGCGAAGGCGCUCUGCUGGGCCAUUACUGACGCUCAUGGACGAAAGCCAGGGGAGCGAAAGGGAUUAGAUACCCCUGUA
rnacentral:rRNA from 1 species